GCAAUUCUAAUGCAAAUCGCAGGUAUGAAUAUCACUAAGUGUAACUAAGUUUUAAUGUUUACUGAAACCAUUACAUAAUUAUAAACUCUUUGGAACAAAUAGAGCACGGUUCAAAUAACUGAAAAAUGAAACCAAAAAUAUAAAAAUCAAGCUGCCAAGCUCUUCGAUGCGAUUUCAAACACAUUCUCUGAGAGUCCCUCAGUAGACAAGAUCAUCUCCAAUUGUUCCUUCGCGAGACUCUGUCUUGUUUCAUCAUAACGUUUCCACCUGGAGAACGCUGAAACCAUUCGUGAAGCCACCUGUGGAUUCAUCUUGUCAAGCUUCACCACUAGUUCUCCCAAGAACUUGUAGCCGGAGCCAUCCUUGCUAUGGAAGUUGACAGGUGAACCACAAAAUCCUCCGAUCAACGAAUAAACCUGUGCAUUUGUCCAAAAUAAAACAUCAUGUCUUGUAAUUGACAUAAACUAGAAAGCUAUAGGUUGCUAAUGUUUCCGUACCCAGGUCAGAUCCUCCAAAAGUGCGCCCCUUUUGGAGGAUCCGGCACAUCCACUGGCUUUUUUGAAGAGUACGAAAGACAUCAAACUCGAAAAAACAUACCUUAUUUGGAUUACAUAGGUCAAAGGCUGUAUGGUUUAGAAGUUUCUUGACAUUCUCAACAUUACCAGGCAUGUCUGACAUAGCUUGAAGAGCAAGCCACUUGUUCACAACCAAGUAAUCAUCCUGCCACUUGUUAUAGAAAUCAGCCAAAAUUUCUUCACGAAUUGCAGGUUGCUGAUCGAUAGCCACUAAAGCUGCAAACUGAUCUGUCAUGUUUGUGGCGUUUCUGUAUUCAUUCAAUAGAAGUUCUGUGAUUUCUGGGUUUUCAAGUGAUCCAAGAUAAGCAAGAGCAAUAUUUUUAAGAGCACGACGUGCCAUAUUGUUAUGAUCAAACUCAUAAGCACCAGAGCUCCUGUUGUUUUUAGCAGUGAUAAGGAACUCUUGUUUCAAUUCAGAAGCCAGUUGCUUCCUGAUGAAAGUCCGCACUGCAUGAACGGCAUCUGGAUCAGCAACCGUCAUCAUGUCCAUGAUUUCUCCUAUACCAGGCAAAGUUAUUGCCUUUGCAAUGAAUUCCUUAUCCAAGCUUGAGUCGGUGAGUAUGCUUUUGAUCCCCUGCAAAAACUGAGGGUUAAGAACCAAAGCCUUAUUCUGUUGGAAAUCAGCUACCAGACUGAGCAUCAACUUCCUUGCCAACACUUGUCCCGCCUCCCACCGGUUAAACUCAUCAGAAUCAUGAGCAAGAAGGAAAAGAAGAUCACUAUCAGUGAGAUCAGACUCAAGCCUGAUGGGAGCACUGAAUCCUCGCAAUAUCGAUGGUGUUGGCCUCUCAGAUACGUCAUUGAACACAAAUUCCUCCUCCUUCUUCGUUACGCGGAGAACUGUGGUGUAUACGUUUUGACCACUGCUCGCAAAACUCUCCAAUUUCCCAUCAUGAUGAACCGAAGAUAGAGGCAUGUCCUUACCACUUGAAUCCAGCAGACCUACAGCAACAGGAAUAAACAUAGGUUCUUUUGCAGACUGGCCGGGGGUUGGAGGCACCUCUUGACUAAACUUGAGGGAGAAAGUGCGCCCUUCAGCAUUAUAAUUUGUGGUAACCUUCACUACAGGUGUCCCAGCUUGCGAGUACCAUAACAAGAAAUUAGCAAAAUCUGCAUUGUUGGCAUCUCGCAUGGCAGCAAAAAAGUCUUCACAUGUUACUGCUUGACCAUCAUGCCUCUCAAAAUAUAAAUCUGUGCCUUUUCUAAAUCCUUGGCUACCUAACAAGGUUUUGUACAUCCUGACCACUUCAGCUCCCUUCUCAUAUACCGUAACUGUGUAGAAGUUAUCCAUCUUUAUAUAAGAGUGAGGCCUUACAGGAUGAGCCAUUGGACCAGCAUCCUGCGGGAACUGAUACAUUCGAAGCUUUGAGACAUCAGCAAUUCUUUUCACAGGACGGCUGCCCAAAUCAGACGAAAACUCCUGAUCACGGAAAACAGUAAGUCCUUCCUUUAAACUGAGCUGGAAC
rnacentral:misc_RNA from 1 species